rnacentral:rRNA from 1 species
AUUGAACGCUGGCGGCAUGCCUUACACAUGCAAGUCGAACGGUAACAGGUCUUCGGAUGCUGACGAGUGGCGAACGGGUGAGUAAUGCAUCGGAACGUGCCCAGUCGUGGGGGAUAACGCAGCGAAAGUUGCGCUAAUACCGCAUACGACCUACGGGUGAAAGGGGGGGAUCGCCAGACCUCUCGCUAUUGGAGCGGCCGAUAUCAGAUUAGGUAGGUGGUGGGGUAAAGGCCCACCAAGCCUGCGAUCUGUAGUUGGUCUGAGAGGACGACCAGCCACACUGGGACUGAGACACGGCCCAGACUCCUACGGGAGGCAGCAGUGGGGAAUUUUGGACAAUGGACGCAAGUCUGAUCCAGCCAUGCCGCGUGCGGGAAGAAGGCCUUCGGGUUGUAAACCGCUUUUGUCAGGGAAGAAAAGGUUCUGGUUAAUACCUGGGACUCAUGACGGUACCUGAAGAAUAAGCACCGGCUAACUACGUGCCAGCCGCCGCGGUAAAAC